GCACUGAUGAAGAGUCCUAAACUAGGACGAAACAGAUGUCCAGUAC
rnacentral:hammerhead_ribozyme from 1 species